rnacentral:rRNA from 1 species
UACGUAGGGGGCAAGCGUUGUCCGGAAUCAUUGGGCGUAAAGAGCGUGUAGGCGGCCAGAUAAGUCCGCUGUGAAAUCUCGAGGCUCAACUUCGAGCUGUCGGUGGAAACUGUCUGGCUAGAGUCCGGAAGAGGAGAAUGGAAUUCCCGGUGUAGCGGUGAAAUGCGCAGAUAUCGGGAGGAACACCAGUAGCGAAGGCGGCACUCUGGGCCGGUACUGGACGCUGAGGAGGCGAAAGCGAUGGGGAGCGAACGAGGA